AUACGUAGGUGACAAGCGUUAUCCGGAUUUACUGGGCGUAAAGGGCGUGUAGGCGGUCUUGCAAGUCAGAAGUGAAAUUCCUGAGCUCAACUCGGGCGCUGCUUCUGAAACUGCAGGACUUGAGUGCUGGAGGGGAUAGCGGAAUUCCUAGUGGAGCGGUAAAAUGCGCAGAUAUUAGGAAGAACACCGGUGGCGAAGGCGGCUAUCUGGACAGUAACUGACGCUGAGGCGCGAAAGCGUGGGGAGCAAACAGGAUUAGAUACCCUGGUAGGCCACGCCGUAAACGAUGAAUACUAGGUGUAGGGGGUAUCGACUCCCUCUGUGCCGCAGUUAACACAAUAAGUAUUCCGCCUGGGGAGUACGGCCGCAAGGUUGAAACUCAAAUGAAUUGGCGGG
rnacentral:rRNA from 1 species